rfam:Triticum aestivum genome assembly, contig: Triticum_aestivum_CS42_TGACv1_scaffold_093800_2AL
CUCCUACUCCCUCCGUCCGUAAAUACUUGUCCUAAAAAUAGUUGAAAAUGGAUGUCCUAGAAAUAACUCUAGAUACAACCAUUUUUAGGGUAAGUAUUUUCGGACGGAGGGAGUAGUUC